rnacentral:rRNA from 1 species
GCAAGUCGAACGGUAACAUUUCCAGCUUGCUGGAAGAUGACGAGUGGCGAACGGGUCCUUAACUCGUAUGCAACUUACCUCUGACCAGGGCAUAGCCCCGUGAAAACGGGAAUAAUACCCUAUAGUACCACGAAAUGACAUCUUUUUGUGGUUAAAGAUUUAUCGGUUAGAGAUGGGCAUGCGUCCCAUUAGAUUGUUGGUGAGGUAACGGCUCACCAAGUCUACGAUGGGUAGGGGGCCUGAGAGGGUUAUC